AGUGAACGCUGGCGGUAGGCCUAACACAUGCCAGUCGAACGGCAGCACAGUAAGAGCUUGCUCUUACGGGUGGCGAGUGGCGGACGGGUGAGGAAUACAUCGGAAUCUACUUUUUCGUGGGGGAUAACGUAGGGAAACUACGCUAAUACCGCAUACGACCUACGGGUGAAAGCAGGGGAUCUUCCGACCUUGCGCGAUUGAAUGAGCCGAUGUCGGAUUAGCUAGUUGGCGGGGUAAAGGCCCACCAAGGCGACGAUCCGUAGCUGGUCUGAGAGGAUGAUCAGCCACACUGGAACUGAGACACGGUCCAGACUCCUACGGGAGGCAGCAGUGGGGAAUAUUGGACAAUGGGCGCAAGCCUGAUCCAGCCAUACCGCGUGGGUGAAGAAGGCCUUCGGGUUGUAAAGCCCUUUUGUUGGGAAAGAAAAGCAGCAGGUUAAUACCCCGCUGUUCUGACGGUACCCAAAGAAUAAGCACCGGCUAACUUCGUG
rnacentral:rRNA from 1 species